CUCACCUAUUUUUUUUCCUUUUCCAUCUUGAUUCAGUUGGUUAUUUCAUCUUACUACAUCUCUUCUGAAAACAGGAUUGUUUUUCUGAGAAAAAAAUACUUUAUUUCAACUGUUAAAAGAAAUAUGCUUGUGGUUACUAACUUAUCUAAAGGCUCACUACCUCCAACCCUGAUUCCCAUCUCCUAUUUUACUCCUUCCCAGUGGUUGAUCACUGAAAGUGGGGGUAGGGAAGACGACAUGCUCUGUUACAGAGAGGAGGCCAGUAGAAGAAACCUGGGCCACUUCUUUCAUCUCACAUGAGUAUCACAAAACUUCAUGCUUGAGUUCUCAUAAAGAGUAAGUGAGCACAUUACCCGGGAAAUUUUACAGAGAACCAUGUGCUUCAGGAAAGGCUGAAUGGCAAGACGAUGUCUGAGAAAAGAGGUCAGCAACACAUCACUGAAAUGCUUAACCUGACAGUGCAAAGAAGCUAACAACAAGCUGCAAGAGGAUAUGUGAUGAAACAUUUUGUGAAUCUUUGCUACCAGUAGUGAUUGGCUAGAACAUCCUGUCAUUGAGCUACAGUCAAAAUAAUUGAAUUAUGAACCCAUGAGAUAACAAAAAAAACAUUAAAAAAAAUGUCACCUGUAAAAGGAGAAACAUUGAGAAAAACAUUAAAGAGGAAUAUUUGUCUUAAACAGAGAACCACCCAGAGCCUGCAAAAGCAGAAGCACAUGCACACAGCAAGAGACCUACUCUGGAGAGCCGCCAUCGCUAAUGGAAAGACAUGACGUGACUGAAGAUCCACAUUUUCCAUAGGAGAGCAGAAUGCUGGCAACUUAGUUAAAUGGCCAAUGUACAAGCAGUUUUCAGCCCAGUGAAAGCUCAGCUUUAAUAGCAAGAAGGCAGGCUCUGGGAGGAGUAAGGCCUGGAAUAUCAACCCAUCUUGUGCCAGGAAACCAAAAGCACUAGAGUUUCACACCAUGAAAAAUUUACCCUUGGCCUGAAAAUAGUUUUGAAACAGGGUAGGAUUUUGCUUCUUUCUUUCAGCCCUUUCUCUUAGUUCCUGCCUUGCCUUUCAAAGCACUCUUGAAAUUUACUUUUCUACCCAUUUCAAUCCAUCUUACUGCCAGGGUAUUAAGUUAGCAUUAUUUCUCAUUGCAACCAAAAAACAGCCAAGCUGCUCACCUUAUUCCCUCGAAAGAACAAAUGCCAAUUCCCACCAUCAGAGACAUUUGUAUUCCCAUUGUCUUCUACCUGCUUGCUACAGUUGGGAUAGUGAAAUCUAAAGUGAAUGUUUAGUGUUAGGAGUAUUUGCUUCAAGAUGAAAAUCAUUAAAAUUAUAAAAAUAGCCACAGAUUAUUAAGUCACUGGUCUAAAACAACUGCAUCAAUCUCCAACUGAAACCACUGUAUACCUGAGGAGAUUAACUCAUCCCAUGGCAUUGAGCUCCCGGCCACAUGAAAAUGUGAUGAGUCUGGGAAAGGUUGUUUUUCAGAAUUGAGGAGUUGCUGUCAAGGAGUGUUUAAGUAGGCUUUCUCAUUUUCAAAUCCAGCUUUGCUGACUGAGCUCCAAAAGCACAUUUGGGAAGAGAGCAGAGUAAAUCAGGGAAACAAUGAGCUUCAUCUCCCAGAACACCUGACAACUCUCACCACCAGCCUUGCCUUUUUUCUUCCAACAGAGUAUCUAUUAUAAGUCUUCUUUAACCCAAUUAGAUGCCAUCAAUUUUCCACUCCAGUAUCCCCACAACCUCUUUCUCUUCCUCAUGCAAUUUAAAAAAAAAGAAUCACAGCUGAAAUACUCCCUGUAUGUUCAUCAGUCAGAGCUCAUUGUCAAAAUUCAUGUGGCCUGUUUAAAAGAUUAAAUGAGUACAGCUGUCUUUCCAGUUAGGAUUCACUUUCUAAAUGAGCUUGUAAUGUCACAAGUUAGACAGCUUCAUUUCCAACAGAUAUCAUUGAUAGUAAGUUGAUAUUCUAGGUCUGUGAAACCUACUUGUACAUCAGUAACCAAGUUUAAAUUUCUGGCAAUGCUACAGGGUCAAAACUUUCUUCCUAACAUAAAGGAGACAGGGUCUAUCAAUCAAACAUGCUGACAUUUGCUUGUGGGAGGUUCAAAAGUCUUAAACAAAAAGAAAUGGAAACAUUUGGAAUCUGAUGAUCAGCUUGUUUAUGUUCAGCAGUAGGGAAGCCUAUAGAAUACAUAUAACCCCAAUGUAAAGUGAG
rnacentral:lncRNA from 1 species